UAUCCCAUCCCACUCCAUCGUCGCCGCCCCCCGAUGCAAUCUCGCCGCCACUCCAUCCUCUCCAGCUCGCGCACGCUCGCCGCCGCCACGUCCGCCGCCGCGGCCGCACUCAGGGCGCAACGGCCUCCUCCCCGCUCGCCGCCCUCCUCGCCUCAUCCAAGGCCGCCUCCUCAUUCUACUCCGACGAUGACGGCGGGAUAGUCCAGCGGGGCCCGGCGCGGGCCUCGUCCGUCCCGACCCCCGCCAUCGCCCCAGCCAGGGCCACCUCCGCGCUUGUCCUCGCAGACGAGCGAGGCUCCCUCUUCGCGCGACUCCCUGUUCAUUCUCAAGGAGGACAGAACCAGCCCUGUUGUGUGACAACACAAUUGGAGAAGUAAAGCCAUAGCAAGGCGGAUGAACAAGGAGGAGACCACCGUGGGAGGGGAGCUAGGAGGGGUCUGAAGCGGUCGUCUCUUUCGAGUGCAAAGACGAGUCUGCGGUGGAUGCUGGGUUGCAGCUCAGGUCGAUGGUGCGGCCAUGGAAACAACCUCCUCAACCUCGACAACCAAUGCGUCGGCAGGGGAGCAACUAAUUCCUGAACCUUUGCUUCUCCUCUUUUAAUUCGAAGUUCUUAGUUUAGUUCCAGAUUUCUAUGCAUGUAAACCUUGUUAUGAUUAGUUAGGUUAGUUUAGUGCUGGGGCUCAUCCUUUAGUCCUUUACCCAAUGUCUGAUUUGUUGGCUGUUUUGGUUUGGUUGCCGUCGGAUGUUAAUGGAGUUACGGUGGAUUUGCUCGACUUGUGGUAUGCAUGGUUAACAAACAACUAAUCCUGCUCUUUUGAUGUGUUUCUUUGGGUUCUCAUCUAUAUGUAUCUCUUCUGAUGUGUGUGCCUCUUACAUAGAUGCGCGAGCAUAGGGAAAAAGUGUAAAAGUAGACUCAUCACACUCACGCUCUCGCUGCGCCAUGGCUCCUUCGUCUUCAAGGAUUGUGUCAGUGGCUUCGUGUCCUUGUGCUGCCGCCGUCCUAUAGGCUGGUUAGGGGGUUGCUUUCCUCUUUGAUGUGUGUCUGACUAUGUGAUAAUAUUCAGUUUUCUUGUGGCCGACUAUGUGAUAAUAUUCAGUUUUCUUGUGGCAGCAUUUCGGAAAUAUGUUUUGUUCUAAUUGUUGUACCAAAAUAGAGUUAGCAUAUUUUAGUUUGAUAUGUAUGGUUUCUUAGGUCUUUUGGGGUGAUUGGUGUUCUGUUCUUACCAUUACGGUUGGGUUUUGGGUGUUCUGUUGUUACUUGAAGAUUCAGAAUGAUGUUGGAAUUAUGCAGGAGAGGUUGAAUCAAGGCAACCAUCUAUAUAUCAGUAAGGCCUGAAUCAACCAGAAUUUGGCCAUUCAAUGAUUUGCGUUCUUAGCCCCAAAGGAUCAUAAUUCCAAAAAGUGACCAAGAAGAGCAUAAGAGGGACAAGCUAAGCAAAGGAGUUAAUCCUGAGUGCAAUGUUCACUGUUUGUCAAACCAGAUUAAGUUUGUGAUGUUGCCAAAUUUACUAUGCACUCUCGAGAUUCUCUUCACAUUUGUUGAUUCACCAAAAAAAUCCGUAGAAAGUGUAUCCCUAUGCACUCUUUAUUUCUGGGAUUUCUAAAGGGAAUUUCAGCAACAAUCAAGAACGAGGGUCUGGCUGUGCAGAAACAUCAGGAGGAGAACAGCAACGGCCACCGGGUGUCUGGAAAGAUAAUAAAGGGCAGUAAGGUUUCCAGAAGAAUUGUACCCCAUCGGACCCGGAGCAAGCGCCGAGCUGCUACAGGGUAGCAAUGAGACUUGAAGGCAUCUAUCGUCCCAGCUUUCAGAAUGGAGAAACUAGUGAGUUUCAUAUAUGACCUGAAUGAAAUGUUUAGGACUUGCGGCAGUGGACUUUGCUACUGAUCAUUCGGUGGUGGUGACCCAUAUGAUGGCGAUUCGCUCCGGCAUUCCAGUUUUGGCGGUGGUGGUGCUGCUGCUCCUAUGAUGGUAGACUCGUCUGAUUCCCCUAGCCGCAUCCAUGGUGAUGAAGCUCGGCCUAGGCUAGAACCCCCUCCGAUUUGCUUAAGAUCACGGAAGCUUGGGUUGAUGGAGUGCUUGUAUUUAGUUUUUGUUUUG